CGGACCGUGGAGGCCGGGUGCAGCCCCGUCGGCUCCGUGCUCUCCGCAGAAAAGGAUUUUCUACGCCCCCCGCCCAUCACUUGGAUCCUGUCUGGGGAGGGAGGGGUGGGAUCUUUCUCUGGAAGUCACCCCCCACCCGCGGUGAAGGAUUUGAGGCUGGGCUCCAAUCGAGGCGGAGGCUGCAGGGCCCGCGGGCGCCCCCCACCCCGCGCACGCCUCCCGGGAGCCCAGGAAGGCGCAGCCCCGGGGGGCCCCCCUGCGCCCCCGGAGGAGGCAGCGGCGCUCCUGCCCAGUGCCCAUCAAGAAUUCGUGGGUAGGGGAACCCGUUUCCAUGCCCUUGCCCACCCCAGGAAGGACGCAGUGUGUCAGGGGGAGAAAAGUCCAAAUGAGUUUCAGAUCAACCUGCCAGUAAUUUUAGCGAGUGAGCCAUGGAGCCCAUAAAGGCCAGAAGAUGGAAAACACUUCAGGGUUGAUAAAAGGAGUUCUGCGCGGCUCAGAAUCGUCCCUCCUCUAAGCCCACUGAGAUCUAUCCGGAGAGGGUCUGAUGGAUGGAGGAAAAAGAAAUGAGACGUGGAGUCUCCCUUCAAGGGCUGUGCUCAUAUAAAACCGAACAACUUGAAAUUGUUCCAAGAGGGGAUUAAAGCAACAUGUUAUUUUGA